GACGAACGCUGGCGGCGUGCCUAAUACAUGCAAGUCGAACGCAGUGGGGACGGGUGAGUAACAAGUGGGUAACCUCCCAUCAUAGGGGAUAACACUUGUAAACAGGUGCUAAACCUAUAUUGGAUGAUCUCCCCUCGGCGGAUUUGCUAGUUGGUGAGGUAACGGCUCACCAAGGCCACGAUGAAUAGCGGACCAGAGAGGGAUAUGGGCCAGACUGGGGCUGAGACACGGCCCAGACUCCUACGGUGGGAAGCAGUAGUGAAUCUUCGGCAAUGGACGAAAGGCGGACAGAGCAACGCGGCGUGAGUGAAGAAGGUUUGAGGAUGGUAAAACGCUGUUGGUAGAGAAGCGGUAUCUAACCAGAAAGCCACGGCUAACUACGUGCCAGCAGCCGCGGUAAUUC
rnacentral:rRNA from 1 species